AGAGUUUGAUCAUGGCUCAGGACGAACGCUGGCGGCGUGCUUAACACAUGCAAGUCGAACGAUUCCAUGCUUUCGGGUGUGGUUUAGUGGCGAACGGGUGAGUAACACGUGGGCAACCUGCCCUCCACUCUGGGAUAACUCCGGGAAACCGGGGCUAAUACUGGAUAUGACUUGGGGUCGCAUGGCUCUGGGUGGAAAGUUUUUCGGUGGAGGAUGGGCCCGCGGCCUAUCAGCUUGUUGGUGGGGUGAUGGCCUACCAAGGCGGUGACGGGUAGCCGGCCUGAGAGGGCGACCGGCCACACUGGGACUGAGACACGGCCCAGACUCCUGCGGGAGGCAGCAGUGGGGAAUAUUGCACAAUGGGCGAAAGCCUGAUGCAGCGACGCCGCGUGAGGGAUGACGGCCUUCGGGUUGUAAACCUCUUUCAGCAGGGACCAAGGCUUCGGUUGAGUGUACCUGCAGAAGAAGCACCGGCUAACUACGUGCCAGCAGCCGCGGUAAUAC
rnacentral:rRNA from 1 species